CCUACGGGUGGCUGCAGUGGGGAAUAUUGCACAAUGGGCGCAAGCCUGAUGCAGCCAUGCCGCGUGUAUGAAGAAGGCCUGCGGGGUGUAAAGUACUUUCAGCGGGGAGGAAGGGAGUAAAGUUAAUACCUUUACGCAUGGACGUUACCCGCAGAAGAAGCACAGGCUAACUCCGUGCCAGCAGCCGCGGUAAUACGGAGGGUGCAAGCGUUAAUCGGAAUUACUGGGCGUAACGCGCACGCAGGCGGUGUGUUAAGGCAGAGGGGAAAGCCCCGGGCUCACCCUGGGAACUGCAUCUGAUACUUGCAAGCUUGAUUCUCGUAGAGGGGGGUCGAAUUCCCGGUGUGGCGGUGAACUGCGUAGAGAUCUGGAGG
rnacentral:rRNA from 1 species